GAACACAAAAUGGCGACACGUGGUUAGCAUUCGUCGCCAACGAGAAAUUGGGGUCGGCCCGAAAGCUCUAGAAUGCACCCCUCUUCCUCCCCGGGGCCUUCCACCUCCGCGAGUUUUAUGACUUAAAAAAGCCCACAGGCUGGUCUGAAGAGGAAGACAAACAUAAAGAUGAAGUGCUUAAUUCAAGGUCACACAAUGUCGGGGAUGGACCUCCAGAUUUCCUUACUGGAAAACAAGCUCAGGGCUCCCACUGAUUGUACAUUAUGGUGAGACGUGGUCUUGUAACACAGUGGUUAAGAAUGUGACUUUGGAGCCAGCCUGCUAGGGGCUGAAUUCUGACUCAGCCAUUUACUAACUGUGUGACCUUAGGUCACAGAAUUUUCCACACUCCUUGACAGAGGUGCUUAACCCUUAUCCAUCAGCAUUCUCAGACAGCACCUCCGGUUAGGGACAGUAUCUGACCGUCCGACAUCCCUGCAGCCCCCAUGUGUCACACAGACUCAGCCUCAGGUAGAUGGUUUCCGUAGAUGGUGGCUUUCUUUGGACCCUUGACAUCAACCAGUUACUAUUUGACUCUUCUGCAGAACCCCAUGUUGACCCCUGCUUUGAGGUGGCAGAGUUAACACUACUCUUCGUUAUAAGCUCUCGUCUGGGGCAACUCAGAAGAACCUCCUGCAACCACCGCUGUACUUUCUGUCUCUAUGAACUUGACUACUCUAGACACCUCAUCUCAGCAAGGCCCACAUUUUCCCGGUGAAGCCACAGAACCACAGGGAGAAACCCAUGGACUUCGCCUCUCUCUCUAGGGGACCAGAUGUGCAGAGGUAAUGAAUACCAGGGAAUCAGGAAACCACUGGAUCAGUUCUUUGAGCCACAGAACAACACUCAUCCCAGCAGCUGGGAAGCUAUCUG
ensembl:lncRNA PCBP1-AS1 PCBP1 antisense RNA 1